rnacentral:sRNA from 1 species
GUUUUGCGUUAGUGGGUGCAGUGGCAUCCUUUUUAAGUUUAUAAAAAAGUACAAAUUUUUUAUAAAUUUAAAAAGAUAUAACGGAACUCACGACCUCGU